GAUCCCUUAGCUCAGCGGUAGAGCGUCUGAUUCCAGUGUGGAAUUGAAUCCAGAAGGUCAUCCGUUCAAUCCGGGUAGGGGUCA